GAUGAACGCUGGCGGCGUGCCUAAUACAUGCAAGUCGAGCGAACGGACGAGAAGCUUGCUUCUCUGAUGUUAGCGGCGGACGGGUGAGUAACACGUGGAUAACCUACCUAUAAGACUGGGAUAACUUCGGGAAACCGGAGCUAAUACCGGAUAAUAUUUUGAACCGCAUGGUUCAAAAGUGAAAGACGGUCUUGCUGUCACUUAUAGAUGGAUCCGCGCUGCAUUAGCUAGUUGGUAAGGUAACGGCUUACCAAGGCAACGAUGCAUAGCCGACCUGAGAGGGUGAUCGGCCACACUGGAACUGAGACACAGUCCAGACUCCUACGGGAGGCAGCAGUAGGGAAUCUUCCGCAAUGGGCGAAAGCCUGACGGAGCAACGCCGCGUGAGUGAUGAAGGUCUUCGGAUCGUAAAACUCUGUUAUUAGGGAAGAACAUAUGUGUAAGUAACUGUGCACAUCUUGACGGUACCUAAGCAGAAAGCCACGGCUAACUACGU
rnacentral:rRNA from 1 species